UAAAAGUCGUAACAAGGUUUCCGUAGGUGAACCUGCGGAAGGAUCAUUACCGUUACUCUGUGUCUUGCACACACUGUAAACCACUGUGAACUGUUCCGAGCUUGUGGGGUGGUUCUUCUUUGCAGGAGAAUCUCAAAUGCAGUUAGACAGCCGAGGCUGGCUGCUGCGGCCCCACAUGUCUGUCUCUUAUGUUUUUCAAAACACUCGUCAAUUCAUUCCAGUUGAAUAGUAUCACUCUGGCCAGUCCAGUUUGAUACACAGUUUAAACACAUGACAACUUCUAACGGUGGAUCUCUUGGCUCGUGCAUCGAUGAAGAACGUAGCCAGUUGCGAUAAGUAGUGUGAAUUGCAGAAUUCAGUGAAUCAUCGAAUCUUUGAACGCAAAUUGCGCUCUCUGGAUAUCCAGGGAGCAUGCCUGUCUGAGUGUCGUGAUAAAAACUACACACCCCUGGUGUGGCAUGUGGGUAUCGAGUUUGCAGAUUGCUCAGGCGUUCUGUACUAAACUCGUCCUGCGAAGUGCGUGAACCUGAAUGUGCUGCUGACUGCAUGUGCAUUGGGAAGGCUCAACUUGCUUCUGUCUUUCCCUCUGCGUUCUCAUGCCAGCAGUAUCAUUGUAGAUGGUGAACAAGACGGUGUCCCACCCAUGGGGCGGGCACGAUGUCAAUUUCUGAUUUUGACCUCAGAUCAGACAAGACUACCCGCUGAAUUUAAGCAUAUC
rnacentral:rRNA from 1 species